AUGAAUAAUUAUUUCAUUAACUUUCACCGACGAAGUUUCAAAAGUAUAGCACAUAUGCAUUUUAUUCAUUCGGGUGUAUUAAAGAGUACACCAAUAUCACCCCGUAAUACAACAACAAACAUGAUUUUGGAAAUCAGAUGGCAAACAUCUACCGCCUUGCUUAUAUCCGAAAGAAUUGCAAAAGCUUAUGCACUUUUGUUCAUUUGGGCAAUUCAUGCGGUCGACGCACUUAAAUGUUACGGCAUCUAA